rnacentral:lncRNA from 1 species
GUCAAGACAGCCAUGUGGGCUGAUAUGCAAGCAAUGAGGUGAUAUGAAGAUAAGGGUAUGGGAGUUCCAAGGACUGUUCCUAUAAAUUGUUGAAACAUGGCCACUGUCUUACUAGCAUAAACCAGUACCUAUUUCUAGGCAUAUCCCUGAUGCUGCACAGGGCAGCUGAGAAAUCAGUGUGCAUCUGGAUGGAUAGAGCUGACUAGUUGAAAUUAUAAAAUUCUUUCAGACAUAGGUUAGAUAUGCAGGGCCAUGUUCAUCCCUCAUGAAAGGCCAUUGAAGCAAAUGUGGUUUAACUGGAACAAGUUUUACUUAGUACAAGCAACUUUUAUGAAGUCUUUCCCAUUGGCUUCAGAUAGCAAAUACAUAAUGGAAAAGAACAGUCAUGUGAAAACAUCUGAAGUAUAAUCUUUGAGAAUAGGAGAAAACAGCUGUUCUUCAUAACUCAUGUGUUUCACCACCAGAAAAGGAUGUGGGAAUGAAUCUGCACCUCCUUGGAUAAUUAGAGAUGAAUGAGGAGCAGGAGAUCAUAGAAAAAUUUUUGUCUUCUAGAGAUAAGAUGAACUUCCUCUUGUGCACAUUUUUUUCCUCCAGUAGAAGCAACAGAGGCAUAUCUGUUGCAACUGUUGCAGCUGUGAUGUGUUUAUAAUUAUUUAUCUUUUUCUCAGGGAAAAAAAUAAAAAAAAAAAGGGGGGGGGUGGACUAAUAUCA